rnacentral:piRNA from 1 species
UCCAACUGCAGUAGAGAAUUUGCCCGCUUC